AAAGCCGUAUGAGAACGCCUUUCCGUCGGUGCCUUUAAACCGCGAUGUCAGUGCACAUUUCUGAACGGGUGGCGCUCUGCCCCCUCCUCCUGGUUUUUUUCUCUCAGUUUCCCCUAUGUGCACCUAAAUACCGUUAUCGUAAUAAACGCAGAUUCCGUUAUUCUCGAAAUAGAGAAUAUCUAUCAGAUAUACGUUCGUGUUAGAUCAACUUUAUCCGAAUUUAAGCUCUUUAAGACAGACGGGCGUUUGCAAAGAUGACAGUAGGAUUCACAAGCAGCACCAUGUCUCGUGUGCGCGAUGCAGCACACGAAUAGUGGGGAGAAUGAAAGAGGCAGUGAGCGAGGUACUGGUGAAGGGAGCAAAAGAGAGGGGGAGAAAUCGAGUAGAAAGUGGGGGAUGAAAAGAGAAGAGAGGGGAACGACGAGGAAGGUAGAGAGGAAGAGUGAGGAAGAAAGAGAAGACAUUGACCGAACGAGCAGCCGCGCGACAAGGCCUCCUUUGCCGUGCUAGGCCAGCUGGAAGGAACGAAGCUUGAACCCUGACUUCUCUUUCUCAACUUAAAUUGGCUACCAAAGAAACGAUGGGAAAAAGCCACUAGAACUCGCUGUGUAAAAAACUACCACCUAGCAAAAGCCAUACUCUACCUGCGCACGUGUGCCAACUGCGAAGUGAAACCCCCUAGGACAUGUACCGCGGUUAGAUUACAGCUGCUUCUUGCAGCUAAAGUGAAUUAAUAGAUUUUUGCCUUACGAAUAUAUUUAAAAAAUAAUAAAUAUGUAAAUUUUUUUAUUUUUUAAUAAUGUAUGAUUAGUUAAGAAAAAAAUGUUUGUUAUUAUCAAAUGUUAAACUCUUUAUUGUUUUACAUACUUAUCUGCAAAAAUUCUGCAAAUAUUCAAUAUAUUAUUAUUUAUUUUGUAAUAAUUUUAAUUAAAUGAUUUAAUAUAAUUACGUAGCCAGAAAAAUUUUUCUAAUAAAAUUUUUUAAAAUUUUAUAUAAAAAA